rnacentral:rRNA from 1 species
GAUGAACGCUGGCGGCGUGCCUAAUACAUGCAAGUCGAGCGAACGGACGAGAAGCUUGCUUCUCUGAUGUUAGCGGCGGACGGGUGAGUAACACGUGGAUAACCUACCUAUAAGACUGGGAUAACUUCGGGAAACCGGAGCUAAUACCGGAUAAUAUUUUGAACCGCAUGGUUCAAAAGUGAAAGACGGUCUUGCUGUCACUUAUAGAUGGAUCCGCGCUGCAUUAGCUAGUUGGUAAGGUAACGGCUUACCAAGGCAACGAUGCAUAGCCGACCUGAGAGGGGGACCGGCCACCUGGGAAUUGAGACACGGCCCAGCCCCCCAGGGGGGGCAGCAGGAGGGAAUCUGCCGCAAUGGGCGAAACCCUGACGGAGCAACGCCGCGGGGGUGAUGAAGGUUUGCGGAUCGUAAACCCCUUUUAUUGGGGAAGAAAAAAUGUGUAAGUAACUGUGCAAAUUUUGACGGUACCAAAUCAGAAAGCCACGGCUAACUACGU